rnacentral:rRNA from 1 species
UACAGAGGCCCCAAGCGUUACUGAGAAUCACUGGGUUUAAAGGGUGCGUAGGUGGUCCGUUAAGUCCGUUGUGAAAUCCCUGGGCUCAACCCAGGAAAUGCUUCGGAUACUGGCGGACUUGAGGCGAGUAGGGGUCACUGGAACUGACGGUGGAGCGGUGAAAUGCGUAGAUAUCGUCAGGAACGCCGAUGGUGAAGACAGGUGACUGGGCUCGAUCUGACACUGAGGCACGAAAGCGUGGGGAGCGAACGGG